rnacentral:rRNA from 1 species
AGUGAACGCUGGCGGCAGGCCUAACACAUGCAAGUCGAACGGCAGCACAAGAGAGCUUGCUCUCUGGGUGGCGAGUGGCGGACGGGUGAGGAAUACGUCGGAAUCUGCCUAUUUGUGGGGGAUAACGUAGGGAAACUUACGCUAAUACCGCAUACGACCUACGGGUGAAAGCGGAGGACCUUCGGGCUUCGCGCAGAUAGAUGAGCCGACGUCGGAUUAGCUAGUUGGCGGGGUAAAGGCCCACCAAGGCGACGAUCCGUAGCUGGUCUGAGAGGGUGAUCAGCCACACUGGAACUGGGACACGGUCCAGACUCCUACGGGAGGCAGCAGUGGGGAAUAUUGGACAAUGGGCGCAAGCCUGAUCCAGCCAUGCCGCGUGGGUGAAGAAGGCCUUCGGGUUGUAAAGCCCUUUUGUUGGGAAAGAAAAGCAGCCGGUUAAUACCCGGUUGUCAUGACGGUACCCAAAGAAUAAGCACCGGCUAACUUCGUGCCAGCAGCCGCGGUAACAC